rnacentral:rRNA from 1 species
UACGUAGGCAGCAAGCGUUGUUCGGAGUUACUGGGCGUAAAGGGUGUGUAGGCGGUUCUCUAAGUUUGGUGUGAAAUCUCCCGGCUUAACUGGGAGGGUGCAGCGGAAACUAGAAUGCUAGAGGGUGGGAGAGGUAAGCGGAAUUCCUGGUGUAGCGGUGAAAUGCGUAGAUAUCAGGAGGAACACCUGUGGUGUAGACAGCUUACUGGACCACUUCUGACGCUGAGACACGAAAGCGUGGGUAGCAAACAGG